AUCCCUGUAGUGCAAUGGAUAGCGCUUUGGACUUCUAAUCCAAAAGUCGUGGGUUCGAAUCCCACCUGAGAUG
rnacentral:tRNA from 1 species